AUCGAUGAAGAACGCAGCGAAAUGCGAUAAGUAAUGUGAAUUGCAGAAUUCAGUGAAUCAUCGAAUCUUUGAACGCACAUUGCGCCCUCUGGUAUUCCGGAGGGCAUGCCUGUUCGAGCGUCAUUUGCUAAACUCAAGCCUACUUGUAGGCCUGGUCUUGGGCGUUGUCCACUCCGGUGGACAUGCCUCAAAUGCAACGGCGACACUGCCUGGCUUCAAGCGUCUAGGAAACUUCACCGCUUCUGUCAGAUAAAUGUCUGCCUCUCAACCCCAAUUUUUAUUCUGGGUUGACCUCGGAUCAGGUAGGGAUACCCGCUGAACUUAAGCAUAUCAAUAAGCGGAGGAAAAGAAACCAACAGGGAUUGCCUCAGUAACGGCGAGUGAAGCGGCAACAGCUCAAAUUUGAAAUCUGGGUCUUUCAGGCUCCGAGUUGUAAUUUGUAGAGGGAUCUUCGGGUGUGGUCCGGCCUAAGUUUCAUGGAACUGAACAUCAUAGAGGGUGAGAAUCCCGUAUGCGGCCGGGUGCCUAUAUCCAUGUGAAGUCUCUUCGACGAGUCGAGUUGUUUGGGAAUGCAGCUCAAAAUGGGUGGUAAAUUUCAUCUAAAGCUAAAUACCGGCGAGAGACCGAUAGCGCACAAGUAGAGUGAUCGAAAGAUGAAAAGCACUUUGGAAAGAGAGUUAAAAAGUACGUGAAAUUGUUGAAAGGGAAGCGCUUGCAAUCAGACUUGCCUUCAGCUUAUCAUCCGGUGUUCUCACCGGUGCACUAGGUUGUUGUCAGGCCAGCAUCGGUUUUGGCGGCUGGAUAAAGGCCUUGGGAAUGUGGCCCCUCUCGGGGGGUGUUAUAGCCCAGGGUGUAAUGCAGCCAGCUGGGACCGAGGACCGCGCUUCGGCUAGGAUGCUGGCGUAAUGGUUGUAAGCGACCCGUCUUGAAACACGGAAG
rnacentral:rRNA from 1 species